AACCUGCCCAAGAGAUCGGGAUAACACCUGGAAACAGAUGCUAUACCGGAUAACAANAGAUGAUGCCUAUCAACUGUUUAAAAGAUGGUUCUGCUAUCACUCUUGGAUGGACCUGCGGUGCAUUAGCUAGUUGGUAGGGUAACGGCCUACCAAGGCGAUGAUGCAUAGCCGAGUUGAGAGACUGAUCGGCCACAUUGGGACUGAGACACGGCCCAAACUCCUACGGGAGGCAGCAGC
rnacentral:rRNA from 1 species